rnacentral:rRNA from 1 species
CAGGAUUAGAUACCCUGGUAGUCCACGCCGUAAACGAUGAGAACUGGAUGUUGGGAGCAGUUUGGCACGCAGUAUUGAAGAUAACGCGUUAAAUUCGCCGCCUGGGGAGUACGGUUGCAAGACUGAAAAUCAAAGGAAUUGACGGGGGGCCGCACAAGCGGUGGAGUAUGUGGUUUAAUUUGUUGCAACGAGAAGAACAUUACCUGGCCUUGACAUGUUGAGAAAUUUCCAGAGAUGGAAUGGUGCCUUCUGGAACUCGAACACAGGUGUUGCAUGGCUGUUGUCAGCUCGUGUCGUGAGAUGUUGGGUUAAGUCCUGUAACGAGCGCAACCCUUGUCCUUAGUUGUCCAGCACGUAAUGGUGGGAACUCUAAGGAGACCGCCGGUGACAAACCGGAGGAAGGUGGGGAUGACGUCAAGUCAUCAUGGCCCUUACAGGCCAGGGGUACACACGUACUACAAUGGUAGGGACAGAGGGCUGCAAGCCGGCGACGGUAAGCCAAUUCCAGAAACCCUAUUUCCGUCCGGAUUGGAGUUUGCAAAUUGACUCCCUGAAGUCGGAAUUGGUUGUAAUUGCAGAUCAGCAUUGCUGCGGUGAAUACGUUCCCGGGCCUUGUACCACACCGCCC